rnacentral:rRNA from 1 species
UGGGGAAUAUUGGACAAUGGGCGCAAGCCUGAUCCAGCAAUACCGCGUGUGUGAAGAAGGCCUGAGGGUUGUAAAGCACUUUCAAUAGGGAGGAAUACCUAUCAGUUAAUACCUGGUAGACUGACAUUACCUAUAGAAGAAGCACCGGCUAACUCCGUGCCAGCAGCCGCGGUAAUACGGAGGGUGCGAGCGUUAAUCGGAAUUACUGGGCGUAAAGCGUACGUAGGCGGUUCGUUAAGUCAGAUGUGAAAGCCCUGGGCUUAACCUGGGAACUGCAUUUGAAACUGGCGGACUAGAGUUGAGUAGAGGUAAGUGGAAUUUCAGGUGUAGCGGUGAAAUGCGUAGAUAUCUGAAGGAACACCAGUGGCGAAGGCGACUUACUGGACUCGAACUGACGCUGAGGUACGAAAGCGUGGGUAGCAAACAGG